rnacentral:lncRNA from 1 species
AGGGGAGGAGGGGGAAUAGAGGCAGCCAAGCACCCUGUUCACAGUGAGCCGUGCUACGGAGCAGCCUCCUCUGCCUCCACCCGGCCUGCAGAGGAGCCUUUCUCUGGCUCAUCCCUGACCCCCUCGGUGCACCGUGUGUCUUCUGAGCCCUCUCAGGGAAUAUAUUCCCCCUGAGGGGGCUCUUCUGGCCUCACUCAUCCACCCAGUUCCAGGGGGACCCUUCCCCGGCCUCAUGGCUCCCUUCCUCUGUGCCCUGCAGGCCUUUCAAGGCUGCUCAGUGUGGGCCUUUGUUCUCUGUAGGCUUCUAGCACCCAUCCCCGAGGCGAGUCUGUGCCCCUGGCCCGGCCUUCCAGAGCAGCAAGUUCUGUUUCCUAGCAGGGUACUGCAAGUCCCUUAUCUGCAGGCCCCUGGCUGCCGCACUCAGAUCCCCUUCCGGGGACCCUGGCCCUGCCACCGCGCGCAUCCCGCUCCUGCUCCUCUUCCGGUGUCCUCCCUGUCCUCCCUCCAGGCCCAGCACACCCUGCCUGCUCAGGGGCCUGGCAGCAGGCUCUCAGCUCUUCCUGCAUGGCCUGCUGCUCUCCUGUGUGUAGCUCCACAAGUCCCACAGCCAAGCGAGAUGGCAGUCACUGUCCCUGCGGCAGAGACAGUCUCCUCUCCGUGAACAUCAUCCUGGCACACACCGAACGCCAGAGGUCUGAUGACUGGGCUGCCACCCUGUGCCCAGGCUGCCUGCGGGCCACCUACUUGGCCCUCCCCUCCGUGGAGCCUUAUUAUCAGCUGGGCAGAUGCAGGGUGAUUCCUUCCCAAGACACCAGCCUGUCACCUGCUUUCCUAGAGAGCUCUGGAGCCAUCGUGAAACACCGGGUCCCCAGGAGGCAGAGCCAAAGGUUUCCUGGGACUAACACACCUGUGGGAGAGGCAGGAAGGAAGCAGUGUUGGAAAGCAGGUUGGGGCCGACUUGCCAGUGUCAGCCUGCCAGACAGGCAGGGCCGGUAUGUGAGGUUCACCCAGGGCAGGGGCCGGUGUGUGGCAUGGGUGGUCGCAUCAGGUCCUAAUGCCUGGCGCACAGUGGGCCAUGUUGUCCAUGCUGGGCUCUGG